rnacentral:rRNA from 1 species
AUUGAACGCUGGCGGCAUGCCUUACACAUGCAAGUCGAACGGUAACAGGUCUUCGGAUGCUGACGAGUGGCGAACGGGUGAGUAAUACAUCGGAACGUGCCUAGUAGUGGGGGAUAACUACUCGAAAGAGUGGCUAAUACCGCAUGAGAUCUACGGAUGAAAGCAGGGGAUCGCAAGACCUUGUGCUACUAGAGCGGCCGAUGGCAGAUUAGGUAGUUGGUGGGAUAAAAGCUUACCAAGCCGACGAUCUGUAGCUGGUCUGAGAGGACGAUCAGCCACACUGGGACUGAGACACGGCCCAGACUCCUACGUGAGGCAGCAGUGGGGAAUUUUGGACAAUGGGCGCAAGCCUGAUCCAGCAAUGCCGCGUGCAGGAUGAAGGCGUUCGGGUUGUAAACUGCUGUUGUACGGAACGAAAAGCACUGGGUUAAUACCCUGGGGUCAUGACGGUACCGUAAGAAUAAGCACCGGCUAACUACGUGCCAGCAGCCGCCGCAG